rnacentral:tRNA from 1 species
GGCGCGUUCGUCUAGUGGCCUAGGACGCUGGCCUCUCACGCCGGUAACACGAGUUCGAUUCUCGUACGCGCUA